rnacentral:rRNA from 1 species
AACGAACGCUGGCGGCAUGCCUAACACAUGCAAGUCGAACGAGACCUUCGGGUCUAGUGGCGCACGGGUGCGUAACGCGUGGGAACCUGCCCUUAGGUUCGGAAUAACUCCCCGAAAGGGGUGCUAAUACCGGAUAAUGUCUUCGGACCAAAGAUUUAUCGCCUUUGGAUGGGCCCGCGUUGGAUUAGCUAGUUGGUAGGGUAAAAGCCUACCAAGGCGACGAUCCAUAGCUGGUCUGAGAGGAUGAUCAGCCACACUGGGACUGAGACACGGCCCAGACUCCUACGGGAAGCAGCAGUGGGGAAUAUUGGACAAUGGGCGAAAGCCUGAUCCAGCAAUGCCGCGUGAGUGAUGAAGGCCUUAGGGUUGUAAAGCUCUUUUACCCGGGAUGAUAAUGACAGUACCGGGAGAAUAAGCUCCGGCUAACUCCGGG